rnacentral:rRNA from 1 species
GCGCGCGUAGGNGGCUNGAUAANCCGGGUNGNGAAAGCCCCNGGGNUCNACCUGGNAACGGCAUCCGGAACUGUCAGGNUAGAGUGCAGGAGAGGAAGNUACGACAGCCGGUGUAGCGGUGNAAUGCGUAGAGAUCGGNAGGAAUACCAGUGGCGAAGGCGGCCUUCUGGACUGACACUGACACUGAGGUGCGAAAGCGUGGGUAGCAAACAGGAUUAGAUACCCUGGUAGUCCACGCCGUAAACGAUGUCGACCAGCCGUUGGGUGCCUAGCGCACUUUGUGGCGAAGUUAACGCGAUAAGUCGACCGCCUGGGGAGUACGGCCGCAAGGUUAAAACUCAAAUGAAUUGACGGGGGCCCGCACAAGCGGUGGAGCAUGUGGUUUAAUUCGAUGCAACGCGAAGAACCUUACCUACCCUUGACAUCCUGCGAAUUCGUGAGAGAUCACUUAGUGCCUUCGGGAACGCAGAGACAGGUGCUGCAUGGGAAUUCUCAGCUCGUGUUGUGAAAUGUUGGGUUAAGUCCCGUAACGAGCGCAACCCUUGUCCUUAUUUGCCAGCACGUAAUGGUGGGAACUCUAAGGAGACUGCCGGUGACAAACCGGAGGAAGGUGGGGACGACGUCAAGUCAUCAUGGCCCUUACGGGUAGGGCUACACACGUGCUACAAUGGCCGGUACAAAGGGUUGCCAACUCGCGAGAGUGAGNNAAUCCCGAAAAGCCGGUCUCAGUCCGGAUCGGAGUCUGCAACUCGACUCCGUGAAGUCGGAAUCGCUAGUAAUCGUGGAUCAGAAUGCCACGGUGAAUACGUUCCCGGGCCUUGUACACACCGCCCGUCACACCAUGGGAGUGGACUGCACCAGAAGUGGUUAGCCUAACGCAAGAGGGCGAUCACCACGGUGUGGUUCAUGACUGGGGNGAAGUCGUAACAAGGUAGC